GUCCACGCCGUAAACGAUGGGCACUAGGUCCUUGGGGGAGCGACCCCCUGAGGGCCGGCGCUAACGCAUUAAGUGCCCCGCCUGGGGAGUACGGCCGCAAGGCUGAAACUCAAAGGAAUUGACGGGGGCCCGCACAAGCGGUGGAGCAUGUGGUUUAAUUCGACGCAACGCGAAGAACCUUACCUGGGCUUGACAUGCACGGGAACUCGUGGGGAAACCUGCGGGGCUCUUCGGAGCUCGUGCACAGGUGCUGCAUGGCUGUCGU
rnacentral:rRNA from 1 species